rnacentral:rRNA from 1 species
CACGUAGGGCGCGAGCGUUGUCCGGAAUUAUUGGGCGUAAAGAGCUCGUAGGCGGCCUGUUGCGUCCGCUGUGAAAGCCCGGGGCUUAACCCCGGGUCGGCAGUGGAUACGGGCAGGCUAGAGGUAGGUAGGGGAGAAUGGAAUUCCCGGUGUAGCGGUGAAAUGCGUCAGAUAUGGCGAGGAACACCGGUGGCGAAGGCGGUUCUCUGGGCAGUAACUGACGCUGAGGAGCGAAAGCGUGGGGAGCGAACAGG